rnacentral:rRNA from 1 species
GACGAACGCUGGCGGCGUGCUUAACACAUGCAAGUCGAACGGGCCUUGUCCCCUUUUUUUUUGGGGGUGGGGUUAGUGGCGAACGGGCGAGUAACACGUGAGUAACCUGCCCCUCACUUCUGGAUAACCGCUUGAAAGGGUGGCUAAUACGGGGUGUUCUGGCCUGCUCGCAUGGGUGGGUUUGGAAAGAUUCGACCGGUUUUGGUUGUUUUGGUGGGGGAUGGGCUCGCGGCCUAUCAGCUUGUUGGUGGGGUGAUGGCCUGCCAAGGCUUUGACGGGUAGCCGGCCUGAGAGGGUGGGCGGUCACACUGGGACUGAGACACGGCCCAGACUCCUACGGGAGGCAGCAGUGGGGAAUAUUGCACAAUGGGCGCAAGCCUGAUGCAGCGACGCCGCGUGAGGGAUGGAGGCCUUCGGGUUGUGAACCUCUUUCGCCAGUGAAGAAGGUCCUGCUCUUUGUGGUGGGGUUGACGGUAGCUGGGUUAAUGAAGCGCCGGCUAACUACGUG